GACAUCAUCAAUCUGAUAAAUACCCAGGAAGUGCUGGGCUAUCCCUGUUUAGCUGCAUGGGACCACAUGGGAAACUGAACAAACAGAGCCCGACCGCGAUCUUCAGGUGGAGGUCGGAGCAGGCCGUGCAUGAAAGAGGACGGCGGUGGUUGUGGUGACGAUACAGUCCGAUAGUAUUGGCUUGGCGUCAUGGACGUCAGGUGGUAGCAGUGCCAGAUCACCUUGCUGAAGGUUGGGAGGAGCUCAGUCUACUCGAGAGCCUGGCUUCUGCUGCCGGGACACGACCUCCUGGGCUUAUAGCACAGAAGGGGGGAGGGGGGAGCGGGGAGCCAUAGUGUUGUGAGUCUAUGCAUCAUAUCCAGUGAUUUUUUUUUUAUUUUUUAUUUUACUACUCAGCACCUGCAUAAGGGAUGUGCUUGUGUUUGUUGACUUUUACUGGACUGUGAAGGAAAAAAACAACUUUAGUAAUGCUCCUUCUUUAAACUGGGAUGUAUAUCAAUUUUAGCCUGCUGUUGCUUCCUGUCUUCUAGUUGCAUCAAUUCUUGUUUUAAGUCCAUGUCACUUUUUUUUUUUGACAAGGUUUUUCAGGCAAUCCUGUGCCAGCACUGAUUCAGCCUCUCUCUCAUUCAUAUGCAGUCUUGGAAAAAAAUAAAUCAAUGCAGCAAAUGGAA